GUGGGUCCAAUGCGGGCCCAGCAACGAAUUUAAUCCGCGGCGAACCAGCGACCGGCCAUCCUUCCUCGUCUCCUCCCCCUUUCUUCGAGAGCUCAGGUGAGUGGGAGCUUGACGAAGGCGACAGGUGCAAUAGCUUGCUCCACGGUGGUGACGGAGUCGUCGGCGUGGUCUGGCGAGGCGAGUGGUACGACGGGAUGCUGGAGCUUGAUGGCUUCGUUGGGUAGGCCGUCUAGGUCAUCGUUUCCGAUUUAGAUCUGGGCUUCAGUCUGGGUGUAACGACAGAUUGCUUUAUUAUCAGCUCGAUAAGGUUUUUUGCGAGAGCUGACAAGAUCUGCUUGGAGCAAGCUGCCGCAUAUGUUGCAGUGAAUAUCAGGUUAAUCCAAUUCCUGGAAGAAGUUUGAGGCUUAACUGCAGCAAACUUCGUAACAUCCAGCUGAUAUGAGUAAACGGUGCCACGAAUUCAGCAAAGCUGGCCCUGAAUGAGAUUACCCUUGUCAAACUUUCAAAUGUAAUACUGUAUAUCAGUUUGGUUAGGAAGUUACAGAAUGUUGUACGAGGAAGUACUCCAGUAGCCUAAUUAUAACUUAGUUACGUGAUCUUCAAUAUAUCUGAUGUUUGUGUAAUUUGAGAACUGCAACUCCUUGGGAGCAAACCUCAAGAAAUCAGCUCUUCGUCCAAGUUUGUUCCUAAGGUCGUGAUCACGUUAUCAGUUAUAAAUGCACCGUGAUGGUUGCCGUUCUGGGCUACUGA